CCUGUCUGCCCGGCCAGGAAGCUUCGUCUUCGGAUCACCAGGGACAGGCACGGAGGCAGAUGGUGAGGGCCAUUCAAGGACAUCUUCAGCACAGCGCGGUGGAAGGCGGAGUUGGUUCGUGGCCCUGGAUUCCGCUCGCUUGGCCCAACAGCCUCAGUAUAGAAGAAUGGGAAU
rnacentral:lncRNA from 1 species